UUCCUGAGAACGCACGCGCCUCGCCUCCUCACCUCGCCCUCAAGCCUCGCCCGCCAGCGCCGUCUGCCGUGCUCUCGCCUCGCCCACUGAGCCCCGUCCGCCGCGAGCGCCUCGCCCGCCGAGCGCCGCCUCGCCUCGCCCGCCAGCGCCGUCCGCCGCUCUCGCCUCGCCCGCCAAGCGCCGCCUCGCCUAAAAGAAAGACCACUUUUUGGUGCGACAAUCGAGUCGCUCCGUUCGUCCGUCGUUCGACGUGCGACCGAAACCUACCCCAUCUGCCCACCCGCGAUCGAAACCUGCUGGCUGACGCUAGAGAUCCCAAUCGCCGAUUGUGAACCGUGGCUCUCGCCGCCGCCGCCGCCGCCGCCAUCGCGUGUGUCCUGAGGCCAUGCGACCCGCUGCAGGGGGCCCUUCGCUGGUCGUGGUCGCAGCCAAGAUGGGGGAGGCCCGCUACGCCCCACCAUGGCGACUGUAGCAGGCUAGGUGCUCUCCUACUCGGGAGGUAUGGGAGGGAUUCACGCGCGACAUGGACGACCUCACCAGCGGCUUCCUCCAUUGUUGCGGACCAAGGACUAUGGCAAUUGUAGCCGGCCGGGUGCUCUCCUACUCGGGAUGUAUGGGAGGGAUUCACGCACGGCAUGGACGACCUCGCCAGCGGCCUCCUCCAUUGCUGCGGACCAAGCUGGCAGACUUCAACGUGCCUUGGCCAGUCAAGUCUCAGACCGCAAUGACAUUUGCCGGAAGGUAAGGAUUCUUUUGUCCCCCCUCCCCCUCUCCCCCAGUUUUCUCUUGAGCACGAAGCCAUGAACUCUUGUUAGCAAUUCAGAAAUAGGGAAUAUAUAUGUGACUAAUUUCGCAAUUUAGAACCCAUUGUGGCACACUAAGAAUCAGAAUUUACCUACCAAGUCCGUCUUGGUAAGCAAAAGCCAAAACUGAGUAAUUUUGCUUAUUUGACAAAUCAAUAUAUGCUUUGACAUAGCAGUUAACAACUAAUUUUACCUUGCACUAUAACACUAAGCUAAUAUAACUGUUUAUGCUCUUCUAUGUGUGUUCUGUUAAAUAUGAUAAAUGCAUACACACAUUUGGACGAAAAUACUGCUUGCAUGAACCACACAGUUUCUUGGAAACCUAUGCUUUGUAAUUAUGAAAUUCAAACAAAAGUGGGGUAUUAUCCCGUGGAGUGCUACUAAUCACAAUGACAAGAUCCUUUGUUAAAUCACAGUCCAUUGUAUCUAAUGUUGAGCUUAGGCGGUUGGACGAUGGUGUGCAUGACAUUGUGAUAAGCGUGAGCUACUAGGAUCAAUGGACAGGGCAGAUGAAGGAGCAUGUGGACUGAGCACAAAUAAGCAAAAUAAUUUUCCUCUUGCUAUUGGACAUUGUGGACAAGUAGAAAAAAAUGACCCACCACUCUAUCCAAGUUCCAGACUCAAAAUGUUGGCUAUCAUUUUUACAUUUUGGUUCACUCUUGAGGACCAAGAGGGUGUUGAUGUCAUUAUGAAUGUGGGAGGAGAAAUGUUUCAUGCCCACGAUAUGGUUUGGUUGCUUGGUCUCAUGCAUUAAGAUCUCAACUUUUUAAUAUUUGCAAAGUCUCAAUGAUGGUUGCCAAUAGUAUCUUUUAUAUUCUUUCUUUCAAAGGAGAUCGACCUCUAAUCAUAUAUAUAAUAUCUUUAAUCUUUAUUUGGUGCUGCCGAGGAGGACUCGCCGCAUGGGAGGUGCAUGAAGGAGGAAGGAAUGGGAAGGAGAGCAAGGUGCUAGACAAGGGGAAGACACUAACAAGGGCAAGAAAGAUAAAAUUGGGAACCUUUAACAGGUGUGUCCAUGGCAGUGACACAGGUAAGUGAGAUGGUUGGGAUGGGGUGAGGUACGGUCUCAGAUAACGAUGAUGUUUUAUUAUGGCUUAUGGAAGGGUAAAACAAGGCGCUUAUAAUUGUGGGAUUGGUGUUAGAUGGCUGAAAACAAGACACAGUUUUGGGAUGAGAAACGGUUGCGGGAUUUUUUUUGAUGAAACGGUGGGGGAGCUCCCCACCCCUUUUUUUUGUAUUUCAAUAUAAAUAAAGGAAUCGUUACAAAGUCAGGAACCAAAGAUUACAGGGCCGCACGCCCAAAACAGAAAAAGCAAGAAUGUUACAAAUAAGGCUCUCUCCAACUACUAAGGGCAGAGCUAACACUGGGUCUUGCUUUGUUACAAACUAAAGCAAUUUCCUCUCUGAACUGUCGUUUCCAAACAUGUAUAUUCUUCUGACCAUGGUCAAAUAUAAUGCCAUUUCUUGUGUUCCAGAUGAUCCAGCAGGCAGUAAUGAGGAUUUCUCUAAAGAUGGGGUUGCCAAAUUGUAAGCGUGCUCGUACAAUCAUGUCCACAGGAUUGAGGUUGAGGUCCCACGAUAUGGGGAUUGUCUCCCAACAUUCUUUACUGAAGCUGCAUUCAAAAAAUAAGUGAAAACUGGUCUCUUCGCACCCCUGAGAGCACAUCACACAUGUAUAGUCAUCCAGGUGCAUGUGUUUUCUGCAUAGGAGGUUCCUGGUGUUCAGACGAUCUCUCAGAAGAAAAAUUUAUGGUUUCCCAGGUUGCCUGAUUUCCAGAGCCAUUUGAAGAGUGGAGAGUCAGGGGUAGAUUUGAUGAAAAGGGCAUAGGCUUUCUUAGUGCUGUAGUUUGUAGUUCCCUAAUUGUAGGACCAAAUAUCAUUGAGGUUCACGUCCCAGUGUCUGUUAUGUAUGAUAUUUUGAAGUUCCUCGAGCUGAUCAGCAGCAAUAGGCGGUAGAGGUAGGGGACUGAAUAAAAACUCCAAGGGUUGGUUGAGGAAGAGCUUUAUGGAGCAUUUGGGUUUUCUAGUGAAGGAAUAAAGUUGUGGAAAUGUGUCCUUCGCUGUUUGAUCCAUCCAAUUGUCUGACCAAAGGAGAACUGAGCUUCCUUUAUUGGGUGAGCAAAUGGAGAUAUUUUGGAAAA